rnacentral:sRNA from 1 species
AACCCUUUUAGGUAGGAGGUACACAAACACUGCGUAAUACUAAAGAGUGUAUGAAUACAUAAUGUCCCCAUUAGGUAGGUGGUACACAAACACUACGUAAAACUAAAGAGUGUGUAAAGAUAUAACCUCCCUAUUAAAUGGUGCACUGCAACUACGUAAAACUACGUUGCGUAAAAACACAUUCCCUAUUAAAUGAUACGCAAACCCUGCGAAGAAUUGAAGAGAGUGUGUGAAGACACAAUAUCCCCAUUAAGUAGGUGGUACACAAACAUUGCGUAAUACUAAAGAGUGUAUGAAUACAUAAUGUCCCCAUUAGGUAGGAGGUGCAUAAACACUGCGUAAAACUACAGAGUGUGUGAAGAUAUAAUUUCCCUAUUAAAUGGUGCACUAAAUGUACGGAAAACUAAGGAGUGUGUGAAGACACAAAAACCCUUUUAGGUAGGAGGUACACAAACACUGCGUAAAACUAAAGAGUGUGUGAAAAUCUGAAUUCCCUAUUAAAUGGUGCACUAAAUCUAUGUAAAACUACGUUGCGUAAAAACACAUACGCAAACAGUGCGAAGAAUUGAAGAGAGUGUGUGAAGACACAAUAACCCUUUUAGGUAGAAGGUACACAAACACUGCGUAAAACUAAAGAGUGUGUGAAGACACAAAAACCCUUUUAGGUAGGAGGUACACAAACACUGCGUAAUACUAAAGAGUGUAUGAAUACAUAAUGUCCCCAUUAGGUAGGAGGUGCAUAAACACUGCGUAAAACUCAAGAGUGUGUGAAUAUAUGAUUUCCCUAUUAAAUAGUGCACUAAAUCUACGUAAAACUACGUGCGUAAAAACACAUUCCCCAUUAAAUGAUACGCAAACACUGCGAAGAAUUGAAGAGAGUGUGUGAAGACACAAAAGCCCUUUUAGGUAGGAGGUACACAAACACUGCGAAAACUAAAGAGUGUGUGAAAAUCUGAUUUCCCUAUUAAAUGGUGCACUAAAUCUACGUAAAACUACGUUGCGUGAAAACACAUUCCCUAUUAAAUGAUACGCAAACCCUGCGAAGAAUUGAAGAGAGUGUGUGAAGACACAAAAGCCCUUUUAGGUAGGAGGUACACAAACACUGCGUAAUACUAAAGAGUGUAUGAAUACAUAAUGUCCCCAUUAGGUAGGAGGUGCAUAAACACUGCGUAAAACUACAGAGUGUGUGAAGAUAUAAUUUCCCUAUUAAAUGGUGCACUAAAUCUACGUAAGACUAAGGAGUGUGUGAAGACACAUUUUCCCUAUUAGGUAGGUGGUACACUGUAACUACGUAAACCUAGAGUGUGUGAAGACACAAUAACCCUUUUAGGUAGGAGGUACCCAAACACUGCGAAAACUAAAGAGUGUGUAAAGAUAUAAUUUCCCUAUUAAAUGGUGUACUAAGACUACGUAAGACUAAGGAGUGUGUGAAGACACAUUUCCCCUAUUAGGUAGGUGGUACACUGUAACUACGUAAACCUAGAGUGUGUGAAGACACAAAAACCCUUUUAGGUAGGAGAUACACAAACACUGCGAAAACUAAAGAGUGUGUGAAGAUAUGAUUUCCCUAUUAAAUGGUGCACUAAAUCUACGUAAAACUACGUUGCGUAAAAACACAUUCCCAUUAAAUGAUACGCAAACAGUGCGAAGAAUUGAAGAGAGUGUGUGAAGACACAAAAACCCUUUUAGGUAGGAGAUACACAAACACUGCGUAAAACUAAAGAGUGUGUGAAGAUAUGAUUUCCCUAUUAAAUGGUGCACUAAAUCUACGUAAAACUACGUUGCGUAAAAACACAUUCCCUAUUAAAUGAUACGCAAACAGUGCGAAGAAUUGAAGAGAGUGUGUGAAGACACAAUAACCCUUUUAGGUAGAAGGUACACAAACACUGCGUAAAACUAAAGUGUGUGUGAAGAUAUGAUUUCCUUAUUAAAUGGUACACAUAAACGUCAAAUUAAGGAGUGUGUGAAGACACAAAAACCCUUUUAGGUAGGAGGUACACAAACACUGCGUAAUACUAAAGAGUGUAUGAAUACAUAAUGUCCCCAUUAGGUAGGAGGUGCAUAAACACUGCGUAAAACUCAAGAGUGUGUGAAUAUAUGAUUUCCCUAUUAAAUAGUGCACUAAAUCUACGUAAAACUACGUGCGUAAAAACACAUUCCCCAUUAAAUGAUACGCAAACACUGCGAAGAAUUGAAGAGAGUGUGUGAAGACACAAUAACCCUUUUAGGUAGGAGAUACACAAACACUGCGAAUAACUAAAGAGUGUAUAAAGAUAUAACUUCCCUAUUAAAUGGUACACAUAAACUACGUCAAAUUAAGGAGUGUGUGAAGACACAAUAUCCCUAUUAGGUAGUAGGUACACAAACACUGCGAAUAACUAAAGAGUGUAUAAAGAUAUAACUUCCCUAUUAAAUGGUACACAUAAACUACGUCAAAUUAAGGAGUGUGUGAAGACACAAUAUCCCUAUUAGGUAGUAGGUACACAAACACUGCGAAUAACUAAAGAGUGUAUAAAGAUAUAACUUCCCUAUUAAAUGGUACACAUAAACUACGUCAAAUUAAGGAGUGUGUGAAGACACAAUAACCCUUUUAGGUAGAAGGUACACAAACACUGCGUAAUACUAAAGAGUGUAUGAAUACAUAAUGUCUCCAUUAGGUAGGAGGUGCAUAAACACUGCGUAAAUCUACAGAGUGUGUGAAUAUAUGAUUUCCCUAUUAAAUAGUGCACUAAAUCUACGUAAAACUACGUGCGUAAAAACACAUUCCCCAUUAAAUGAUACGCAAACACUGCGAAGAAUUGAAGAGAGUGUGUGAAGACACAAUAUCCCUAUUAAGUAGGUGGUACACAAACAUUGCGUAAUACUAAAGAGUGUGUGAAUACAUAAUGUCCCCAUUAGGUAGGUGGUACACAAACACUGCGAAUAACUAAAGAGUGUAUAAAGAUAUAACUUCCCUAUUAAAUGGUACACAUAAACUACGUCAAAUUAAGGAGUGUGUGAAGACACAAUAUCCCUAUUAGGUAGUAGGUACACAAACACUGCGUAAAACUAAAGAGUUUGUAAAGAUAUAACUUCCCUAUUAAAUGGUACACAUAAACGUCAAAUUAAGGAGUGUGUGAAGACACAAAAACCCUUUUAGGUAGGAGGUACACAAACACUGCGUAAAACUCAAGAGUGUGUGAAGAUAUGAUUUCCCUAUUAAAUGGUGCACUAAAUCUACGUAAAACUACGUUGCGUGAAAACACAUUCCCUAUUAAAUGAUACGCAAACCCUGCGAAGAAUUGAAGAGAGUGUGUGAAGACACAAUAUCCCCAUUAAGUAGGUGGUACACAAACAUUGCGUAAUACUAAAUAGUGUAUGAAUACAUAAUGUCCCCAUUAGGUAGGAGGUACACAAACACUGCGUAAAACUAAAGAGUGUAUGAAUACAUAAUGUCCCCAUUAGGUAGGAGGUGCAUGAACACUGCGUAAAACUCAAGAGUGUGUGAAGAUAUAAUUUCCCUAUUAAAUAGUGCACUAAAUCUACGGAAAACUAAGGAGUGUGUGAAGACACAAAAACCCUUUUAGGUAGGAGGUACACAAACACUGCGUAAAACUAAAGAGUGUGUGAAGACACAAUAUCCCCAUUAAGUAGGUGGUACACAAACAUUGCGUAAUACUAAAGAGUGUAUGAAUACAUAAUGUCCCCAUUAGGUAGGAGGUGCAUAAACACUGCGUAAAACUACAGAGUGUGUGAAGAUAUAAUUUCCCUAUUAAAUGGUGCACUAAAUGUACGGAAAACUAAGGAGUGUGUGAAGACACAAAAACCCUUUUAGGUAGGAGGUACACAAACACUACGUAAAACUAAAGAGUGUGUGAAGAUAUAAUUUCCCUAUUAAAUGGUGCACUAAAUCUACGUAAAACUACGUUGCGUGAAAACACAUUCCCUAUUAAAUGAUACGCAAACCCUGCGAAGAAUUGAAGAGAGUGUGUGAAGACACAAUAUCCCCAUUAAGUAGGUGGUACACAAACAUUGCGUAAUACUAAAUAGUGUAUGAAUACAUAAUGUCCCCAUUAGGUAGGUGGUACACAAACACUGCGAAUAACUAAAGAGUGUAUAAAGAUAUAACUUCCCUAUUAAAUGGUACACAUAAACUACGUCAAAUUAAGGAGUGUGUGAAGACACAAUAUCCCUAUUAGGUAGUAGGUACACAAACACUGCGUAAAACUAAAGAGUUUGUAAAGAUAUAACUUCCCUAUUAAAUGGUACACAUAAACGUCAAAUUAAGGAGUGUGUGAAGACACAAAAACCCUUUUAGGUAGGAGGUACACAAACACUACGUAAAACUAAAGAGUGUGUGAAGAUAUAAUUUCCCUAUUAAAUGGUGCACUAAAUCUACGUAAAACUACGUUGCGUGAAAACACAUUCCCUAUUAAAUGAUACGCAAACCCUGCGAAGAAUUGAAGAGAGUGUGUGAAGACACAAUAUCCCCAUUAAGUAGGUGGUACACAAACAUUGCGUAAUACUAAAUAGUGUAUGAAUACAUAAUGUCCCCAUUAGGUAGGAGGUGCAUAAACACUGCGUAAAACUACAGAGUGUGUGAAGAUAUAAUUUCCCUAUUAAAUGGUGCACUAAAUGUACGGAAAACUAAGGAGUGUGUGAAGACACAAAAACCCUUUUAGGUAGGAGGUACACAAACACUGCGUAAAACUAAAGAGUGUGUGAAGAUAUAAUUUCCCUAUUAAAUGGUGCACUAAAUCUACG